rnacentral:rRNA from 1 species
UUCGCCCUUUACGGGUUGUGAGAGCAAGAGCCCGGAGAUGGAUUCUGAGACACGAAUCCAGGCCCUACGGGGUGCAGCAGGCGCGAAAACUUUACAAUGCCGGCAACGGCGAUAAGGGGACCUCGAGUGCCAGGUUACAAAUCUGGCUGUCGUGAUGCCUAAAAAGCAUUGCAUAGCAAGGGCCGGGCAAGACCGGUGCCAGCCGCCGCGGUAACACCGGCGGCUCGAGUGGUAACCGUUAUUAUUGGGUCUAAAGGGUCUACAGCCGGCCGGAUAAGUCUCUUGAGAAAUCCAGCAGCUCAACUGUUGGGCUUUCAGGAGAUACUGUCUGGCUCGAGGCCGGGAGAGGUGAGAGGUACUUCAGGGGUAGGGGUGAAAUCUUGUAAUCCUUGAAGGACCACCAGUGGCGAAGGCGUCUCACCAGAACGGACCUGACGGCAAGGGACGAAAGCUAGGGGCACGAACCGGAUUAGAUACCCGGGUAGUCCUAGCCGUAAACGAUACUCGCUAGGUGUCGGCCACGGUGCGACCGUUGUCGGUGCCGUAGGGAAGCCGUGAAGCGAGCCACCUGGGAAGUACGGCCGCAAGGCUGAAACUUAAAGGAAUUGGCGGGGGAGAAGGGCGAAUCGU